rnacentral:lncRNA from 1 species
GCUUAACUGCAGAGUUCUGAUGCGAUCCGGUGCAUUAGUGCUGGUAUGAUCGCACCUUAAGUAUUGCACGAACAAUGUAUAUAUGGUUUCGACAGCGGGUAUAAGUUUCAACACUUGGGAAGACGUGAGCGAGCGACGUGACGUGGAUGGUUUGUGAUACAAGAGGGUCUAAGCCCAAUAAAUAAAGACCAACAACCCAACCCAAGGAGAAGGGUAAAAGAGUCCUUUCGACCAAGGGAGGGGGGUGAGCUUAGUGAUGAAGGGUUUGCAACAUGAAGUCUUCCAAUCCAUCACGUGGCCACAUGUUUAAUUGAUUUUUAUCACAUUGUAAAUAAGCCUUCUAGAAGGCCAGCACCUGCUGCACAUGACUAAAUACGUGGCAACUGAUCCACUCUUCACAGAUCAUGAAUUGUAUGCACAUGGCCAAGGGGGUUCAUCUAUAAAACCCACCAUGGCAGCACUUGUAUGAUACUUUGGAUAUUAUGAGAAAUUUCUCUUCAUUGCUGAAGUUCUUAUCAGCCGAGAAUCUCUGACCAAAGUCACCUUCCAUCAACUCUCUCCCACCUCUUAGCUUUCUUCCAACAAUGGAAGCUGCCUGAAGCUAGGACCACACCAUCUCCUUCUCUGCCGUCAACAUCCACUCUGAUUCCAUCAACUUCCGCUGCCACCUGCUGGAACUUCGUCCUUCUCGGGUCCAGUCUUCAAUCAAGCAAUGGAGAGGCUUAUCAGUUUGGGUCCGAAAAAGCCAUAGUAAGAGUUAGUUGGAGUCGUGUUGGCGGUACUUGUCGCAAAUAACAACGACGAAAAACAACGUAUAAAAUAAAAGAAUGUCAAAAAGAGGUGCAACACGAGGACUUCCCAGGAAGCCACCCAUCCUCGGACUACUCUCGCCCAAGCACACUUAAGUACGGAGUUCUGAUGGGAUUCGGUGCAUUAGUACUGGUAUGAUCGCACGUAUUAAAUAUUGCACAACCAAUGUAUAUAUGGUUUCGGCAGCAGGUAUAAGUUUCAACACUUGGGAAGACGCGAGCGAGCGACGAGACGUGGAUGGUUUGUGUCCGGAAAAGCCAUAGUAAGAGUUAGUUGGAGUCGUGUAGGCGAUACUUGUUGCAAAUAACAACGACGAAAAACAACGUAAAAAAUAGAACAAUGUGAAAGAAUGUGCAACACGAGGACUUCCCAAGAGGUCACUCAUCCUAGUACUAGUCUGGCCCAAGCACACUUCACUACGGAGUUCUGAUGGGAUCUGGUGCAUCAGUGCUGGUAUGAUCGCACCUAUCAAGUAUUGCACGAUAAAUGUAUAUAUGGUCUCGGCAGCGGGUAUAAAUUUCAACACAUGCGAAGAUGCGAGCAAGCCACGUGACGUGGAUUGUUUGGGUCCGAAAAAGCCAUAGUAAGAGUUAGUCGGAGUCGUGUACGCGGUACUUAUAACAAAUAACAAGGACAAAAAGCAGCAUAAAAAAGAAGUGAAUGUGAAAAAUAGAUGCAAAACGAGGACUUCCCAGGAGGUCACCCAUCCUAGUACUACUCUCACCCACGCACGCUUAACUGCGGAGCUCUGAUGGGAUCUAGUGCAUGAGUGUUGGUAUGUUCGCACCUAUCAAGUAUUGCACGAUAUAUGUAUACAUGGUUUCGACAGCGGGUAUAAGUUUCAAUACUUGGGAAGACGUGAGCGAGCGACGUGCGUGGAUGGUUUGGGUCCGAAAAAGCCAUAGUAAGAGUUAGUUGGAGUCGUGUUGGCGGUACUUGUNGCAAAUAACGAGGACGAAAAACAACGUAUAAA